CCUAACACAUGCAAGUCGAACGGUAACAGGAAGCAGCUUGCUGCUUCGCUGACGAGUGGCGGACGGGUGAGUAAUGUCUGGGAAGCUGCCUGAUGGAGGGGGAUAACUACUGGAAACGGUAGCUAAUACCGCAUAAUGUCGCAAGACCAAAGAGGGGGACCUUCGGGCCUCUUGCCAUCGGAUGUGCCCAGAUGGGAUUAGCUUGUUGGUGGGGUAACGGCUCACCAAGGCGACGAUCCCUAGCUGGUCUGAGAGGAUGACCAGCCACACUGGAACUGAGACACGGUCCAGACUCCUACGGGAGGCAGCAGUGGGGAAUGUUGCACAAUGGGCGCAAGCCUGAUGCAGCCAUGCCGCGUGUAUGAAGAAGGCCUUCGGGUUGUAAAGUACUUUCAGCGGGGAGGAAGGGAGUAAAGUUAAUACCUUUGCUCAUUGACGUUACCCGCAGAAGAAGCACCGGCUAACUCCGUGCCAGCAGCCGCGGUAAUACGGAGGGUGCAAGCGUUAAUCGGAAUUACUGGGCGUAAAG
rnacentral:rRNA from 1 species